UUCCCAUCCCGAACACGGAAGUUAAGCUCUCCAGCGCCGAUGGUAGUUGGCGGGACACCGCCUGCGAGAGUAGGACGUUGCCGGGC
rnacentral:rRNA from 1 species